CAGCCCUUCGCCUGGAUGGGUGCAGUAGUGCAGGGCGUGCUGCUGCAGCCAGGUUACAGGAGGUGCCCAGGAGAGCUCCAGGGGGUGUAGUGUAAAAGGAGGAAAAAAAAAAACAACCCACCUCUUCUUGAAGAUGACCUACCAUCCUGAUGUCAAAGCUAGAGAUGCCUUACCUUCUCCUAACUAGUCACCAGCAACAGGAGCAGUGGGUUCAACACACAUGCUGGCAACAGCACCAUGGCCUCUAAGAAGGGCAGGGCUGGAGAGCUCCAUCGUCCUCACCACUCCACAGACACCUCGAAGAGGCAUCAUCCCCCUUGCAGAGCUGACCUGGCAG